UAAAGUAGACGUUGCCAUGAU
rnacentral:piRNA from 1 species